rnacentral:rRNA from 1 species
UACAGAGGGUGCGAGCGUUGUUCGGAAUUAUUGGGCGUAAAGGGCGCGUAGGCGGUGCGGUAAGUCACCUGUGAAAUCUCCUGGCUCAACUGGGAGCUUGCAGGCGAAACUGCCGUGCUGGAGUGUGGGAGAGGUGCGUGGAAUUCCCGGUGUAGCGGUGAAAUGCGUAGAUAUCGAGAGGAACACCUGCGGCGAAGGCGGGUUGCUGGGCUGACACUGACGCUGAGGCGCGAAAGCUAGGGGAGCGAACGGG